GGCGAGGCUCCUCAUUGGAGGCUCAGGAGGCGAGCGAGUGGAGGGCCCCGGGAGCGAGUCGUGGAGGUGCAGGUCGGAGAGGCCGGGCUACGCCGUGCCCUGCGCGUGAGCAGCUGCAGCGGCGGAGGCAGCAUCCAGCGGCGGUGCCACCAGUUCCAGCCCGUAGCUUUACUUUUUGCUGCACCAACAGUCAUUAUGCCGAAGAGAAAGUCUCCAGAGAACACAGAGGGCAAAGAUGGAUCCAAAGUAACUAAACAGGAGCCUACCAGACGAUCUGCCAGAUUGUCAGCGAAACCUGCGCCACCCAAACCUGAACCUAAACCAAGGAAAACAUCCGCUAAGAAAGAACCUGGAACAAAGAUUAACAGAGGUGCUAAAGGGAAGAAGGAGGAAAAGCAGGAAGCUGGAAAGGAAGGUACUGCACCAUCUGAAAAUGGUGAAACUAAAGCUGAAGAGGUACUUUCCAUAAAUACCUCCCACAGAUUGAAUCAGUGUCUUUAAAGAAAUUGCUCGGUCCUUCAGCCGGUGAUAGCACGCUCAUAAUGUCUCUCUUUAUUGCCUGUAAUGUUAUUGCAGAUCCACAUCUCUCGCUCAACUGUUAAUGUCUCAACCUCCAGAGGCACAGAAAACUGAAUCAGUAGAUAACGAGGGAGAAUGAAUUGUCAUGAAAAAUUGGGGUUGAUUUUAUGUACCUCUUGGGACAACUUUUAAAAGCUAUUUUUACCAAGUA